rnacentral:rRNA from 1 species
UACGGGGGGGGGCAAGCGUUGUUCGGAAUUACUGGGCGUAAAGGGCUCGUAGGCGGCCAACUAAGUCAGACGUGAAAUCCCUCGGCUUAACCGGGGAACUGCAUCUGAUACUGGAUGGCUUGAGUUCGGGAGAGGGAUGCGGAAUUCCAGGUGUAGCGGUGAAAUGCGUAGAUAUCUGGAGGAACACCGGUGGCGAAGGCGGCAUCCUGGACCGACACUGACGCGUGAGGAGCGAAAGCCAGGGGAGCAAAGCGGG